rnacentral:rRNA from 1 species
GUCUUUUUGAUAAUAAUUUAAAGUCUGGCCUGCCCAAUGAUAAUUUAAAUGGCCGCGGUAUUUUGACCGUGCAAAGGUAGCAUAAUCAUUAGUUUUUUAAUUGAAAGCUUGUAUGAAAGGUUGAACGAGAAAAUUACUGUCUCAAUUUUAUUUGAUAAGAAUUUUAUAUUUAAGUUAAAAAGCUUAAAUAAUUUUAAAAGACGAGAAGACCCUAUAGAGUUUUAUAUUAUUAAUUUUUUUUUAUAAAUAAUUUAUUUAAUUUUUAAUAGUAUUUUAUUGGGGUGAUAAAUAAAUUUAAUAAACUUUAUUUUUAUUUAAACAUUAAUAUAUGAAUAUUUUGAUCCAAUUAUUUUGAUUAUAAGAUUAAAUUACCUUAGGGAUAACAGCGUAAUUUUUUUUGAGAGUUCAUAUCGAAAGAAAAGAUUGCGACCUCGAUGUUGGAUUAAAGUUUAUUUUUGGUGUAGAAGCUAAACGAUUAAGUCUGUUCGACUUUUAAAACUUUACAUGAUCUGAGUUUAAACCGGUGUGAGCCAGGUUGGUUUCUAUCUUUAAAAAUAUAAAAUAUUUUAGUACGAAAGGACCAAAUAUUUAUAAAAUUUAUUUUUAAAUUGAAUAUUAUUGUUAUUUUGGCAGAUUAGUGCAUUAAAUUUAGAAUUUAAUUAUGUAAUUUAUUACAAAUAAUACUUGUUUUAUAAAGAUUUAAUUUUAAUAUUAAUUAGAAGGUUAUUAUUAGUAAUUUGUGUAUUAAUU